AAGAGUUUCAGGCUUUCCGCCGUCAUGCCUGGUGGCGCCCCUGCACAGUACAAACUCAAAGUACAAGCUCCAGCCAAUGGCAUCCAUGGAUUCUCAACCACUUUACUGCGACCCAGAUCUGCGCUGGAGAGCUGCCAUUGGCCCUUCAAUGCUAUAUAAGCAUUGCAUUCAGCUGGAUUCAUGGCUGGGGCAGUUCCUCCGGUCACCCGGUUUUUAAAGUAGUUUCUUCCUGUUUGCAUUGGAGUGGUCGAAUGAUUUUAAGGAAAAAGAUCCGGCAAUUGUGUACAUUGUCCAAAUUGAAGGCAGUUUCUCUCUCAAUUUCUGUUCCCAACGCCAAUAUAUGUGUGUAUGUAUGCAUCUUUGUGUGUGUUGGUUGUAUUUAUUAGGGUGGUUGAUUGAAAAUUUGGUUAUUUUUUGGAUGCUUGUUGAGUUGGAUAAUUGGGUGUGAGAUAUUGGGGAGGUGGGUCGAAUUAAUUGAUUAGUUUUGAUGAA